rnacentral:rRNA from 1 species
CACGUAGGGGGCAAGCGUUGUCCGGAUUUAUUGGGCGUAAAGAGCUCGUAGGCGGUUCGGUAAGUCGGGUGUGAAACCUCCAGGCUCAACCUGGAGAGGCCACCUGAUACUGCUGUGACUCGAGUCCGGUAGGGGAGCGUGGAAUUCCUGGUGUAGCGGUGGAAUGCGCAGAUAUCAGGAGGAACACCGGUGGCGAAGGCGGGAUCCUGGGCCAGUACUGACGCUGAGGAGCGAAAGCGUGGGGAGCAAACAGG